rnacentral:rRNA from 1 species
CCUACGGAGGCUGCAGUGGGGAAUAUUGGACAAUGGGCGAAAGCCUGAUCCAGCCAUGCCGCGUGUGUGAAGAAGGCCUUCGGGUUGUAAAGCACUUUCAGUGGGGAAGAAAGCCUUGGGGCUAAUACCCUCGAGGAAGGACAUCACCCACAGAAGAAGCACCGGCUAACUCCGUGCCAGCAGCCGCGGUAAUACGGAGGGUGCGAGCGUUAAUCGGAAUUACUGGGCGUAAAGCGCGCGUAGGCGGUCUGAUAAGCCGGUUGUGAAAGCCCCGGGCUCAACCUGGGAACGGCAUCCGGAACUGUCAGGCUAGAGUGCAGGAGAGGAAGGUAGAAUUCCCGGUGUAGCGGUGAAAUGCGUAGAGAGCGGGAGGAAUACCAGUGGCGAAGGCGGCCUUCUGGACUGACACUGACGCUGAGGUGCGAAAGCGUGGGUAGCAAACAGGAUUAGAUACCCUUGUAGUC